rnacentral:rRNA from 1 species
UCAGGAUGAACGCUGGCGGCGUGCUAACACAUGCAAGUCGAACGGACCUGUGGCACCGUUCCGGAUUUAGCUUGCAUUGAAGGAGACACCGUGCAGGUAGUGGCGGACGGGUGAGUAACGCGUGGGCAACCUGCCUUUAUCCGGGGGAUAACAGUUAGAAAUGACUGCUAAUACCGCAUAAACGCACGAAUGGGCAUCCAUUUGUGUGAAAAACUCCGGUGGAUAGAGAUGGGCCCGCGUUAGAUUAGCCAGUUGGCGGGGUAACGGCCCACCAAAGCGACGAUCUAUAGCCGGCCUGAGAGGGCGACCGGCCACAUUGGGACUGAGACACGGCCCAAACUCCUACGGGAGGCAGCAGUGGGGAAUAUUGCACAAUGGGGGGAAACCCUGAUGCAAGCGACGCCGCGUGAGUGAAGAAGUAUUUCGGUAUGUAAAGCUCUAUCAGCAGGGAAGAAACAGGACGGUACCUGCACAAGAAGCCCCGGCUAACUACGUGCCAGCAGCCGC